UACGUAGGGUGCAAGCGUUGUCCGGAAUUAUUGGGCGUAAAGGGCUCGUAGGCGGUCCAUCGCGUCGGGAGUGAAAAGCUGGGGCUCAACCCCAGUCCUGCUUCCGAUACGGGUGGACUAGAGGUAUGCAGGGGAGAACGGAAUUCCUGGUGUAGCGGUGAAAUGCGCAGAUAUCAGGAGGAACACCUGCGGCGAAGGCGGGUUGCUGGGCUGACACUGACGCUGAUGCGCGAAAGCCAGGGGAGCGAACGGG
rnacentral:rRNA from 1 species